rnacentral:rRNA from 1 species
AAACCAGCACCUCAAGUGGUCAGGAGGAUUAUUGGGCCUAAAGCAUCCGUAGCCUGUUCUGUGAGUUUUCGGUUAAAUCCAUUAGCUCAACUAAUGGGCUGCCGAAAAUACUGUAGAACUAGGGAGUGGGAGAGGUAGACGGUAUUCGGUAGGAAGGGGUAAAAUCCUUUGAUCUAUUGAGGACCACCUGUGGCGAAGGCGGUCUACCAGAACACGUUCGACGGUGAGGGAUGAAAGCUGGGGGAGCAAACCGGAUUAGAAACCCCAGUAGUCC